rnacentral:tRNA from 1 species
UCCCUUGUAGCUCAGUAGGUAAAGAAUCUGCCUGUAGUGCAGAAGACCCAGGUUCAAUCCCUGGGGGAA